AAGGGACCGAGAUCCAUGCCGUCGCCCUCCACCACAUCUCCACGCCGCCGGCGACGAAGCUCCGCCAUUCUUCUCCCCUCGCGCAUCCCCGCUCUUCUCCGCCCCCCUUCUCGCGUGGGGCUUCAGCAACCGCGAUUUCCUCUUCCCAUAAGCAAGGGAGGGGACAGGAGCACCGGCGGCAGCCGGAGAGGAGGAAUGUGGAGGCCCCGCGCGCAUCACACUUCUGUCCACAGUGAAUUAGAAUCUCUUCAAUGAAAGUACACUUCAGUGUGCAGGCUGUUGAGUUAUGUGAAACUGAAACUUCUUAUCAUCGGCUAAUUUUUUUCCUGUGACAUCUGCACUACUUUCGUAUACAUGUUAAUUUUUUUUAGUGAAAGUGAAAGCUAAUUUUCUUUCUCCAAUCCAGAUAUGUCGAUUGGGAAGGCAGGAUUUGAAAGGCACGGUUUUGAUGGCACCUUCAGUUAAUGCACAAUAAGUGUUCAUCCCGGACAUUGACACUGUAACUGAUAUUGUGUUUGUGUAUGCACCAGGGAAGGCAAGUGCGAUAAUAUUCAGUCUUAACUACUGUCCUUCACAUCGAAAAGGCACUGGAAUUUCUGCAUCAAGGUGGUGUUACCCAAUCUGUUGCCUUAUGGUAAGUUAUACAACAAUGUGCAUCAUUGUUGAUGCGUCUGCUUUUAAUGUUAUCAAAAUUAAAAGGGGGGAGAUUGUCCACCUUUUGCACAUUGGUUACUACAACUCUGCUGAAGGGCUAUCUAUGCUUACAAUCCAUCAACAGUUUCUAUAUUAGCCAGUCCUCUGUUCCGUACUUCCACUAGACCAUCUCCCAAUGGUUAAAUAUUUGACACAAAAUGGUAAAUACUACACAAUCACAAUAUAAAUAGUUGUAUUCAUGACCUACUGGAAAGAAAAGGUGUUCAGAUAUCAAAUCCUAGAUACCGGGAGAGUAGACUUGGCAAAUAAAAUCCGAGAAGAAGCUUUAGUUAUCUCCCAAAUAUUGUUGCCACAAGAUUCUCUGCUUGCUGGCUCCUAUAUGUUUGCAAGGGUAAUUCUAGGCAGAAAUUUUGGCCUGAAGCGAAAGCAGAAUAUACUUCAUAAAUUCAUGAAUAUAUAGUGGUCAAGUACCAAAGUAGGCACCACAAAUUAACAGGAAAAGCCCUACAGUAUCAAUUUUAAUGUUGAUUAUAUCACACUUCUUUCAACAUAAUGUACGUACGAAAAGAAAGAAACCGGUAAAUAAGGGUGACAACAGUACUUUUUUGGGUUCUGGUGGCAUGGAAGCAUGUACGCAAUGGAAAAUGAGAAUGUGAACUGUCGAAACUUAUAAUAAGCAAGUGGUUAUGAUGUUCAUAGUCAAACCCUGGUCUCCGCUAGUACCAAUGAAGUACAUUUGCCUAAGUUAGUCAAAGAUAUGCCCAUAAAGUAGCAGAAGGUAACCAGGCAUAUACUCGGAAUCUAACCCCACAUAGCCUUCCGAAUGAUUUGUUCAGUAUCAGACUUUACCGUUGCUUCUGGCAGAGAUCCUUCAUAACGAGAGACUGCCCUUUGUGCAGCAAUCCAAAUAGGAAGAUCUGCACCUGGUAAUUGAUCUGGCGUAAGCCUGUCCCAAGAGUAGUUUUCUAUCAACAACAGUGAAUUCUCUGCAUAAGUUUGCUCUUUCAGCCAGAGGUUAAGUUUAUCAAUCCAGAUAUGAAAUCAUGAAUCAAACUAUAGACAGAAGGUAUUGACUCCUCACCUUUACAUCAAAAAAUCUAUACAUAAACAUGCCAUACCUGAUACUUCUUUUGCCCGUUAGAUCUCCUGGACAUCAUGUACGAGAUGGGCAUGAAUUGCAGCCAGGAUAUAGCUGCACCAUCAGAGAAAAAUAACACUAAAUGGAAAUGAAACUCUAA